GAUGAACGCUAGCUACAGGCUUAACACAUGCAAGUCGAGGGGCAUCAGGAAGAAAGCUUGCUUUCUUUGCCGGCGACCGGCGCACGGGUGAGUAACACGUAUCCAACCUGCCCUUUACUCGGGGAUAGCCUUUCGAAAGAAAGAUUAAUACCCGAUAGCAUAAUGAUUCCGCAUGGUUUCAUUAUUAAAGGAUUCCGGUAAAGGAUGGGGAUGCGUUCCAUUAGGUUGUUGGUGAGGUAACGGCUCACCAAGCCUUCGAUGGAUAGGGGUUCUGAGAGGAAGGUCCCCCACAUUGGAACUGAGACACGGUCCAAACUCCUACGGGAGGCAGCAGUGAGGAAUAUUGGUCAAUGGGCGCUAGCCUGAACCAGCCAAGUAGCGUGAAGGAUGAAGGCUCUAUGGGUCGUAAACUUCUUUUAUAUAAGAAUAAAGUGCAGUAUGUAUACUGUUUUGUAUGUAUUAUAUGAAUAAGGAUCGGCUAACUCCGUGCCAGCAGCCGCGGUAAUACGGAGGAUCCGAGCGUUAUCCGGAUUUAUUGGGUUUAAAGGGAGCGUAGGUGGACUGGUAAGUCAGUUGUGAAAGUUUGCGGCUCAACCGUAAAAUUGCAGUUGAUACUGUCAGUCUUGAGUACAGUAGAGGUGGGCGGAAUUCGUGGUGUAGCGGUGAAAUGCUUAGAUAUCACGAAGAACUCCGAUUGCGAAGGCAGCUCACUGGACUGCAACUGACACUGAUGCUCGAAAGUGUGGGUAUCAAACAGGAUUAGAUACCCUGGUAGUCCACACAGUAAACGAUGAAUACUCGCUGUUUGCGAUAUACAGUAAGCGGCCAAGCGAAAGCAUUAAGUAUUCCACCUGGGGAGUACGCCGGCAACGGUGAAACUCAAAGGAAUUGACGGGGGCCCGCACAAGCGGAGGAACAUGUGGUUUAAUUCGAUGAUACGCGAGGAACCUUACCCGGGCUUAAAUUGCAGUGGAAUGAUGUGGAAACAUGUCAGUGAGCAAUCACCGCUGUGAAGGUGCUGCAUGGUUGUCGUCAGCUCGUGCCGUGAGGUGUCGGCUUAAGUGCCAUAACGAGCGCAACCCUUAUCUUCAGUUACUAACAGGUCAUGCUGAGGACUCUGGAGAGACUGCCGUCGUAAGAUGUGAGGAAGGUGGGGAUGACGUCAAAUCAGCACGGCCCUUACGUCCGGGGCUACACACGUGUUACAAUGGGGGGUACAGAAGGCAGCUAGCGGGUGACCGUAUGCUAAUCCCAAAAUCCUCUCUCAGUUCGGAUCGAAGUCUGCAACCCGACUUCGUGAAGCUGGAUUCGCUAGUAAUCGCGCAUCAGCCACGGCGCGGUGAAUACGUUCCCGGGCCUUGUACACACCGCCCGUCAAGCCAUGGGAGCCGGGGGUACCUGAAGUACGUAACCGCAAGGAUCGUCCUAGGGUAAAACUGGUGACA
rnacentral:rRNA from 1 species